CUGGGAACUGCGUUNUGAACUGGGUGACUAGAGUGUGUCAGAGGGAGGUAGAAUNCCACGUGUAGCAGUGAAAUGCGUAGAGAUGUGGAGGAAUACCGAUGGCGAAGGCAGCCUCCUGGGAUAACACUGACGUUCAUGCCCGAAAGCGUGGGUAGCAAACAGGAUUAGAUACCCUGGUAGUCCACGCCCUAAACGAUGUCGAUUAGCUGUUGGGCAGCAUGACUGCUUAGUAGCGAAGCUAACGCGUGAAAUCGACCGCCUGGGGAGUACGGUCGCAAGAUUAAAACUCAAAGGAAUUGACGGGGACCCGCACAAGCGGUGGAUGAUGUGGAUUAAUUCGAUGCAACGCGAAGAACCUUACCUGGUCUUGACAUGUACGGAACCCUCCAGAGACGGAGGGGUGCCUUCGGGAGCCGUAACACAGGUGCUGCAUGGCUGUCGUCAGCUCGUGUCGUGAGAUGUUGGGUUAAGUCCCGCAACGAGCGCAACCCUUGUCAUUAGUUGCCAUCAUUAAGUUGGGCACUCUAAUGAGACUGCCGGUGACAAGCCGGAGGAAGGUGGGGAUGACGUCAAGUCCUCAUGGCCCUUAUGACCAGGGCUUCACACGUCAUACAAUGGUCGGUACAGAGGGUAGCCAAGCCGCGAGGUGGAGCCAAUCUCACAAAACCGAUCGUAGUCCGGAUUGCACUCUGCAACUCGAGUGCAUGAAGUCGGAAUCGCUAGUAAUCGCAGGUCAGCAUACUGCGGUGAAUACGUUCCCGGGUCUUGUACACACCGCCCGUCACACCAUGGGAGUGGGGGAUACCAGAA
rnacentral:rRNA from 1 species